rnacentral:rRNA from 1 species
UACGUAGGAGGCAAGCGUUGUCCGGAAUUACUGGGUGUAAAGCGCGUGUAGGCGGCAGGCCAAGUCUGUGGUGAAAUCGCUCGGCUCAACUGGGCGGGGUUCAUGGAAACUGGUCAGCUGGAGGACGGUAGAGGUGAGUGGAAUUCCCGGUGUAGUGGUGAAAUGCGUAGAGAUCGGGAGGAACACCCGUGGCGAAGGCGGCUCACUGGGCCGGUCCUGACGCUGAGACGCGAAGGCGUGGGGAGCGAACGGG